GCACUUUUCAUUCGGAAAAGCGGGGCUAUAUUGGAAGGGCCUAGGCUUCGGCCUCGGCUAUGGUGAUAAAUGAUGCCGUAAAAUAGAUGCAGCGGACCCGGGGGCGGUACCCGGCGGCUCCACCAAAAUCAGCUUUUCGGCUGAUCCUGAUGGGGCCGAACUAGGAUCGACGUGUAUUGAAAGACGGUAUUUUUGCCGGGCCUGAAUGCGCCCUAAAACCGUUCAAAACGAUAAGUGCCAACGAUAACGAGGUACUCGCAAUCGCUGCAUAACAGAGUCCUUCUGGGAUAAUGUUAUAAGGUGUUAGCGCGGUUCGGACCGCACCGGGCAACAGAAGCGGAAACC
rnacentral:tmRNA from 1 species